AUACGUAUGUCGCAAGCGUUAUCCGGAUUUAUUGGGCGUAAAGCGCGUCUAGGCGGUUUAGUAAGUCUGAUGUGAAAAUGCGGGGCUCAACCCCGUAUUGCGUUGGAAACUGCUAAACUAGAGUACUGGAGAGGGAGGCGGAACUACAAGUGUAGAGGGGAAAUUCGUAGAUAUUUGUAGGAAUGACGAUGGGGAAGCCAGCCUACUGGACAGAUACUGACGCUAAAGCGCGAAAGCGUGGGUAGCAAACAGGAUUAGAUACCCUGGUAGUCCACGCCGUAAACGAUGAUUACUAGGUGUUGGGGGUCGAACCUCAGCGCCCAAGCUAACGCGAUAAGUAAUCCGCCUGGGGAGUACGUACGCAAGUAUGAAACUCAAAGGAAUCGGCGGGG
rnacentral:rRNA from 1 species